rnacentral:rRNA from 1 species
UACGUAGGGUGCAAGCGUUAAUCGGAAUUACUGGGCGUAAAGCGUGCGCAGGCGGUUGUGCAAGACCGAUGUGAAAUCCCCGGGCUUAACCUGGGAAUGGCAUUGGUGACUGCACGGCUAGAGUGUGUCAGAGGGGGGUAGAAUUCCACGUGUAGCAGUGAAAUGCGUAGAGAUGUGGAGGAAUACCGAUGGCGAAGGCAGCCCCCUGGGAUAACACUGACGCUGAGGCACGAAAGCGUGGGGAGCAAACAGG